rnacentral:rRNA from 1 species
UACGUAGGGUGCGAGCGUUGUCCGGAAUUACUGGCGUAAAGAGCUCGUAGGUGGUUUGUCGCGUUGUCCGUGAAACUUCCCUGGCUUAACUGGGGCGUGGCGGGCGAGUACGGGCGAGACGUGGAGGUACUGCAGGGGAGGACUGGAAUUCCUGGUGUAGCGGUGGAAUGCGCAGAUAUCAGGAGGAACACCGAUGGCGAAGGCAGGUCUCUGGGCCACUACUGACGCUGAGAAGCGAAAGCAUGGGGAGCGAACAGG